rnacentral:lncRNA from 1 species
GGGCCGUCCCCAUACCCCGUCCGGUAUGGGCGCCAAAACACAUAAGAUCUCCAUACCCCGUCCGGUAUGGGAGACCACAAUCCCGGUAGGGUUCCCUACGGACCCGGUCCGUCCACCAUCUCCCAGGAUAUCUAGUCAGGCUGACCACAUUAUACAAUUACCCAUUUACAUAAUCUUUCAUUCUCUUUUUCCUCAGUCAGCAUCAUCAAUCCACAUACAAACAAGCAAAACGGUAAUUUAUGCCAAACAGACAACAUACAGCAUCAAUAUCCCAGUCAUUCAAUCCAUAAUCAAUAAAACAGUAAAAUAUGCACACGAAACUAUAAAAUGAAAACAUCAAACCUCAUACUGCAUUUAAAA